UCCUUAGACGUUCUGGGCCGCACGCGCGCUACACUGACCAGUGCAACAAGCAUCCGUCCUUGGCCGACAGGCUCGGGCAAUCUUUGAACGCUGGUCGUGAUGGGGAUAGACUUUUGCAAUUUUUGGUCUUCAACGAGGAAUGCCUAGUAAACGCAAGUCAUCAACUUGCAUUGAUUACGUCCCUGCCCUUUGUACACACCGCCCGUCGCACCUACCGAUUGAAUGGUCCGGUGAAGCCUCCGGAUUGGCGCGCACCUCGGUGCCGCCGAGAAGUUGGCUAAACCUUACCAUUUAGAGGAAGGUGAANUCGUAACA
rnacentral:rRNA from 1 species